rnacentral:rRNA from 1 species
UACGGAGGGUGCGAGCGUUUGUCCGGAAUCAUUGGGCGUAAAGGGCGCGUAGGUGGCGCGGUAAGCGUGCGGUGAAAAGCCUGGGGCUCAACCCCGGGUCGGCCGUGCGAACUGCUGGGCUUGAGCACUGUAGAGGCAGGCGGAAUUCCGGGUGUAGCGGUGGAAUGCGUAGAGAUCCGGAAGAACACCGGUGGCGAAGGCGGCCUGCUGGGCAGUGCUGACACUGAGGCGCGACAGCGUGGGGAGCAAACAGG